GCACCGGUUCUCUUAGGAACCACUAUCAUAAACCCUUAAAAUAAAU
rfam:Vigna radiata var. radiata cultivar VC1973A chromosome 7, whole genome shotgun sequence